UACAGAGGUCCCAAGCGUUGUUCGGAUUCACUGGGCGUAAAGGGUGCGUAGGCGGUCGGGUAAGUCUGACGUGAAAUCCCGCAGCUCAACUGCGGAACUGCGUCGGAUACUAUUCGGCUUGAGGAAUGGAGGGGAGACUGGAAUUCCCGGUGUAGUGGUGAAAUGCGUAGAUAUCGGGAGGAACACCAGUGGCGAAGGCGACUUCCUGGCCUGUUCUUGACGCUGAGGCGCGAAAGCUAGGGGAGCAAACGGG
rnacentral:rRNA from 1 species